CCAUGGUAAGCAACUUCACACAAGGUAAUCAUCCAGUAGGUCAAUAUGUUUAAAUGGUUUAAUACACAAUUUUGUAUAUCCUAAUCAGAUGGUUACCCCUUCCUCAUAAGGAAUGGAAACAAUAACAUAGAAAGGCAGAAACAGAGUGAUUGCCAUGAUAUCAGUUGUCUGACCCCUGUUCCUUCCCUUGUGUUGGUUCUUUCUCUCAUUUAGCGCAUGCCCUUGCACCAUAUCGAACAAUCUAAACUGAUACCAAAUAAGCUUGUACACCAUAAUGACAAGAGAUAUGCAUUCCCCUUCCAGUUGCCUGCACAUUUGGAAACAACAAAACAAAUCAUUCGAUUAGAAAUUCCCAGCUGCUAGUCUACAUUAUGAAAUAGGCAUACACAUAGUUAACUGAUGAUGCUUCUCUAAGAAAUGGAUUCCCCUGCAAGUUGCUUGCGCAUUUGGAACAACACAACAAAUCAUCUAAUGAACAUUCUCAGCUGCUGGUCUGCACUAUGAAAUAGGUAAAUAUCGACUUGGGCUAUACUCAGUUCAGUUUCUGUCACAAUAGGCCAUGUGCUUUCAUUGAUUGCAUGAAAGGUAUUUAGAUGGCCUCAAAAGCUUUGCGCAAUCUAACAUGCCGACCUUGUGAACUCGCUCACUGAAAGGUUAACAGUACCAAUGCAGGUGUUAAACUGCAGAAAGAAUGCACCAAUCUCCAAAAUUGUGGAAGAACUCUCAUUAUGAGGCAGAAAUGGCCAAACUGUUUUUGUAACACCUCAAUAUUCCAGAGCAGAGUUAUAAGAGGGGUCAUGAGUCGCUUUGGAAGCACGGGAAUGGCUAAAUAAUCUGCAAAAUCCGUAACAGACGCAAAUUAAUAUAAUUCUCGGAAGAAAUAUUGCUCUUGUGCAUGUGAUAAAUUUAAAUGUAAAACAUUUACAGUAAAGUCAACAAAAACGAACAGGAAUUUAAUUUAUUUUUUUAUAAAAACUAUACAUUGCACUCUUUGUAGCUAAGUUCUCCCGAGUGACCAUUCAUCAUACGACAAUAAGGUAAAUGUCAGUUUUACAAAAAUCACCAAGAUCGCCAAACACAAGACACAAGUUGCUUUAGAAGGAUGGGGAAGACCGAACAAAUGUAGCAACUGUAAUGAAGAAAAAAAAACAAAAGCCUUGGAAGUUGCGUUCCAUAUGUACGGAGAUGGCGCUGCCCAGAAGUUUGGUCACAAUUUUACAUUAAAGAAGCGCAAUAUCAAUGACUCCAGGCAUAAGACACACAUCCAUGUAACCAAGAGAAAUGUGUUGAAUAUUAGCAAAAUGUCAUUAUAUUCAUAGUUGCUUUACUUACCUUCAGUAUAUUAGUGUACAGACAUUUUCAACAAAGCAGAUAAUAAUAAAGAAGCACUCAAAAAAUAAUAUAGCAAUCAAGGCGAGGGGUGCUCACCUUAGGACGCCUUACCGCCAUAAGAACAUUGGCCCAUGGUUAGUACAACUACAAUUGCUUUGUUCCAAUGAAUUUAAGUAGUACCUGUAUCAUGGAUGACUAUUUGUAUCCCUUAAACCUCAGAUCAUGCAAUGCAAAAUAAUAAGUACUGAAAAGGAAGUAGUAGUCGAAACAACCAAAAUAUUGUCCUCUCUCCUGAUCUUGGCUGCACUUCGGAUAGAUCAGACCAUGGAAGUAGAAUUAAGAAUCAAUAAGGCCAGGCAAUGGUAUUCGUCGACGCCACAUAUAUGAUCUGUUUCACCCCAAAGAAGAAACAACAUAUGAUUUGGCUUUCAGCUUCUAAAACUAUAGAACAGUGAAUAAAUCGAGGCCCUGGCAAUCAAUAAUUUUAUCUCCAUUGGUCCUUUCAUCGGUUCAUGGAAAUAACUCUAUAGAGUAAAGCACAUCAAAGGACACACAGUUCAGAUGCAAAAAGCAAAUCCCUAGUUCAGUUCUAUUGAAAGAUAAAGAUGAUGACAAAGAUUCUAAGCUAGAUGGCACAUCUACACAAAGAACCAGCAUGACAAAUGCAAGGAAACCAGAGAUAAAUUUUUGGCUAAGAUUGAAGAAAAAAACAGGAUGAGCUCACCUUUGAUCUGCAAUAGCACAUUUAGGAAUAACCAAUUUCUUCCUCAAUCAUGCAAGUACCCAGGACAAAAGAAUCUUAUAGUUCGUGGGUGAGCAACCCUUCUGAAGCUCCUACAAAGAGAAAAUUUUGAACUUUAACCCAAAGCACAUAGUCACAAUGAUUAAACCCAAAGCACAUAGUCACUACGGGGAAAGGAACAUGGAAGGAAAAAAUGUCUUAGCUCACACAUUUUAUCGAUCAGGAGACGAGCAGAAAAGAUCUUACCUCCGGGAGCAAAUAACCACCUGAUGUAGUCACAUACCCGAGCAGCCUCGCUUCCAACGAAACAAACAAUCCUGUACCAACAAAGGAGGAAGAAGGAGGAAAACCGAACAGCAAGAGGUGAGGCAACUGAAAAUCGAUGCGGCCAUGUACGACGGCUGGAAUGGAUGGGGCAGCAUGCCGCUUGCUGCUGCGGCUGUCCUCCUCUCCACCCUUAGACGACAACUAUGAUACAUCUCCUGGGAACCCAGAUAAGCGUUAGAGUAAGCGUCUAGGCAAGCACCCCUACAAUGGAGAAAGCGAGAGAUAGAGAGAGUCCCA
rnacentral:lncRNA from 1 species